UACGGAGGGUGCAAACGUUGCUCGGAAUCAUUGGGCGUAAAGCGCACGUAGGCGGCCUGUUAAGUCGGGUGUGAAAGCCCUGGGCUCAACCCAGGAAGUGCACUCGAAACUGGCAGGCUUGAAUAUGGAAGAGGGUCGCGGAAUUCCCGGUGUAGAGGUGAAAUUCGUAGAUAUCGGGAGGAACACCAGUGGCGAAGGCGGCGACCUGGGCCAAUAUUGACGCUGAGGCGCGAAAGCUAGGGGAGCAAACGGG
rnacentral:rRNA from 1 species